CAUCUAUUAAUUUUACAUUAAGUAUUUAUUAAUGCACCCUUCAUGUAAAGUAUGAUUCAUUCACCUACAAAAAUUUAUUGUUUGUGGGGUUAUCUUAUAUAAAACAGAUCUUUAUUACUAACAGAAUUAAAUUACAACAUCUUGUAAAAAUCAUUCAUGAUUAUGAAGAUAGAGAAACUACACUGACAUGUUUAAUAGUACUAGAAAUUAAGUAGUAUGGCUGUUAUACUGUAUAUAUAAUAUAUAGGGUUUUAUGGCUGAACAGCUUUUGGCUUCGUCCUUUAUUUAAUAGCUAUUUUCAUCCAUUACAUCGCACUAACUUCCAUCAUGAUUCUCUAUAGAUCACAUAACCCACUUAAAAGCUGUAAGUAAUUGUCCUACUUGAUCAAAGAAACAAAUAUAGCCAUACCUAUAUAUAACACUAAAAUAUCCAGGAGAAAAUUUCAACAGAUAGUCCCAGACAAUUUGUACUGAAAAAUAUUUAAAUUACAACUUUGAAGUGUAAAACAACUGCAAAUAGGAAUUGUGAAAUGCAAAAACAUAUGAAGAAAAAGUGCAUAGGUAAAAAAAAAAGGAUAAUUUCAGUGAGGAAAUGCUUUUUCACUCCUAGCAGAUUUUAAGACCUGAUACUCAUUUGAUAUGAAAUACUAUAUUUCUGCUAUUUUCCAGUACUUGAUUUAAUGGCAGGCUGAUUUAUGCCACUGGACAACCUUGCUCAACAUCCAUUAAUGUUACAUAGUUUGACUCAGAAUCUCUGUUCCACAAUUCUUCUCAAGACUUCAGCCUUGCCUACUAAUGGGGGUGUUUCAUCCAUGUUCAACGUGAUGAUUUUUUCUUCACCAUGAUGACCCUGCAUACAGAAUGGAAUUUAUUUUGAAUUACAUGAUCAGCUUGGGGAAGAAGAUUGUCUCUUCAGUUCCCUUUCAAACACCACUUUUUGUGGGACAGCUUCUACAAAGACUCGGAGGAAGGUUAACAAGCUAAGUUGGAAGUCACUGUAAUUCUAAGUAUGAAAUCAGGAUUUGUUUCCAGACAUCACUUACAGUUGUAUCAAAGUAUAAUCCUGAUAUAAUUUUCCAUUCUAAGAGUCUUCUGUGCUGCAAGAACAGUGUCUGAGAGCAGGAUACAACCUGUACCUUCUGUCUUUGAUAUGCCACCAGGGCAUGACUGCACCUUUGGGGGCCAGACACAGCUACCAAUGGUGGUUUCCAAAACAGCACCUACAUACUAAUUCCGGCAUUAACUCAGCUGCAUAGAGCAUGGUGCUAAUAAUGCCAAGGUUGUGGAUUUAAUCCCUGCAUGGGCCUGACUUAUAAGUCAAACUUGAUGAUCCUUGUGGGUCCUUUUUCGGCUCAGAAUAUCCUGUAACUCCUGUAUUGUCCCUGUAGUGUCAGAGAUGGACCACAGCAGAAGCUGCUCUUGGAGAUUUAUUCUGUGCAAAGCUGCUUCCAGACUUGUGAAGCACUGACAGGUACAUUCAGUACAGGAGCUGCAAUGUGACCAGAAGGGAGAUCACUCCAUGGUUAUUGCGUGCACUGUGGUUAUCACUUUGAGCAAAUGCUGGAAUGCAGAAAAGUAUAAUUUGGAAAGCUGACAAGUGUAAGUUGCCAAAGAACCAGAUUUGUCUUUGACAAAUUUAACUGAAAAGACAAACCUACCAGCAGAACACAAGUACUAUAAGUACUACAAGUACAGUAGAUUCGUAAAACAGUAAUUUCGAUCAAAAUACAGCUUUCAUGUCAACACACAAAAGAUAAUUAUAUUAAUUGACAUUACAGAAGCCUGAAAAGUCAGAUGAAAGGGAAGUAAAAUUGAAUUGCCUGGCAACAACUGGACCAACAAUAUGUAUUUUACUCUCUUGUAAAUUCUAAAAUUUUCUGAUCCAUCUAAUUGCUAGUGUGCCAAAAUCUAGUUAGUUUGUGUUUUAUCUUCCAGAGAUGUACUAGGCUCAGAGCCACAGUUAAAGAAGCUUUCAUUAUUACUUAAUGAAUUUAAUAAUGUACGCUUUUUAAAAAAAGUUCUCCAUUUAGUACAAUAUAUGGUGGAUUACAAUUGUUAAGAAAUUAUGAAACUCCUUGUGCAGUGUAUUUUGGGAAUGUUUUCAGACAUUAUCAAUAACAGAUAGUUUUCAUAUACAUCAGCAAUAAAUGCCUUUCUGGUUCUAUGGAUCAGGUAAAACUAUCCUAACUGCAUUUCAGUAUCAAACUGCUCCC
rnacentral:lncRNA from 1 species